AUGUCAUUCUUGAUUUAAAAAAUUUUAUUCACAUACAAGAUAAAAAAUACACUCAUAGAACUAUUAACCCAUUUGUAUUUGCAGGGUUCUUCAUUCUCAACGAAGCAAUGCAUUUUGAUCACUUAUCAAAAUACAUAUUUCAACUCUAAAAUAUUUAGCAUUGCCAUAAGAGAAAAUUAUCUCAUUAUGGUUAAUACUAUAAUAUUGACAAUAUCCAUAGGA
rnacentral:lncRNA from 1 species